CCUACGGGAGGCAGCAGUGAGGAAUAUUGGUCAAUGGACGAGCGUCUGAACCAGCCAAGUAGCGUGAAGGAUGACUGCCCUAUGGGUUGUAAACUUCUUUUAUAUGGGAAUAAAAUGUUCCACGUGUGGGAUUUUGUAUGUACCAUAUGAAUAAGGAUCGGCUAACUCCGUGCCAGCAGCCGCGGUAAUACGGAGGAUCCGAGCGUUAUCCGGAUUUAUUGGGUUUAAAGGGAGCGUAGGUGGAUUGUUAAGUCAGUUGUGAAAGUUUGCGGCUCAACCGUAAAAUUGCAGUUGAAACUGGCAGUCUUGAGUACAGUAGAGGUGGGCGGAAUUCGUGGUGUAGCGGUGAAAUGCUUAGAUAUCACGAAGAACUCCGAUUGCGAAGGCAGUUCACUGGACUGCAACUGACACUGAGGCUCGAAAGUGUGGGUAUCAAACAGGAGUAGAUACCCCAGUAGUC
rnacentral:rRNA from 1 species